GGAGGAGGGAGGGGUGGCUUUGCGGGAGAGCGAGCGAGCUGCGGGGGAUCCGGGGGAUCCGCCAGGGCUACCGCCUCCCUGGGUCGCGCCGGCUGCCCUCCAUCAUCCGGAGAGAGGGAAACCCAAGGCGGCGCGAAUGGGGAAGGGUGAGGGUGUCUCCAGCCAAGAAGGUGGGGAAGAAGAGGGGAGACAGUUCACCCUCCAGAACCGCGAGGCCAGUCUGCGCUCCUGCAGUAAGGAAGCCACCGUUUCCCAUCCAGUAAUUCCGGGAAUUCCAGGAACUUCAUCACGUUUUUUUUUUUUUUUAACUAUGUGGAGUAAAACCAUUGUAAAAGCUUGUCCUGAUCUUGAAGAUAUGCCUGCUUUUACCAGAAUCAUAGGCUUUUAAAGCCCUGCCCAAAGGCAGGAAAGGCAUUUAUAACAUCGAUAGAGGAGUAAUCAAUGCCAAGAGCCAUUGAGAUAUUUUUUCUCCCCCCA
rnacentral:lncRNA from 1 species